rnacentral:rRNA from 1 species
GAGACCUCAGUCAGGCGACACCCACUU